rnacentral:rRNA from 1 species
GUUUGCGACAAUAACAUGUAGGAAACACCGAUUCUCGUCAGAAUGCCGAAGUUAGGCAACGUCGGACCCGGGUAGUACGAGUAUGUUUGACCGGCCCGGAAUAUCGGGUGGUGCGGCCG